GACGAACGCUGGCGGCGUGCUUAACACAUGCAAGUCGAACGGAAAGGCCCUGCUUUUGUGGGUUCCUCAGUUGCCAACCGGGGAGGAAACCCGUGGUUAACCUCCCCUUGCUUUUGGGUUACCUUCGGGAAACUGGGGCUAUUCCCGGAUAGAACCUCCUCCUGCUUGGGGGGGGUUGGAAAGUUUCGGCGGUUGGGGAUGGACUCGCGGCUUAUCAGCUUGUUGGUGGGGUAGUGGCUUACCAAGGCUUUGACGGGUAGCCGGCCUGAGAGGGUAACCGGCCACAUUGGGACUGAGAUACGGCCCAGACUCCUACGGGAGGCAGCAGUGGGGAAUAUUGCACAAUGGGCGGAAGCCUGAUGCAGCAACGCCGCGUGCGGGAUGACGGCCUUCGGGUUGUAAACCGCUUUCGCCUGUGACGAAGCGUGAGUGACGGUAAUGGGUAAAGAAGCACCGGCUAACUACGUG
rnacentral:rRNA from 1 species